rnacentral:rRNA from 1 species
UACGUAGGGUGCGAGCGUUGUCCGGAUUUACUGGGCGUAAAGGGCGCGUAGGCGGCCACCGCAAGUCGACUGUGAAAUCUCCGGGCUUAACCCGGAAAGGUCAGCCGAUACUGCGGGGCUAGAGUGCAGAAGGGGCAACUGGAAUUCUCGGUGUAGCGGUGAAAUGCGUAGAUAUCGAGAGGAACACCUGCGGCGAAGGCGGGUUGCUGGGCUGAUACUGACGCUGAGGCGCGAAAGCCAGGGGAGCGAACGGG